CCAAAGCCUAACUUUGCUCUUAGCACCAGGUGACACUGAGUUUUGCUUCCAUAAGCCCCAGGUCCCCAGCUGUUCAAUAUGGUUGAUAUCCAGCCCACCUGUCUUCCAGAGCUGCUAUUACUCAUCAAGUUCAAAUAAGAUAACAUAUGUUAAAGUCCUCUGAACACUGGAAAAAGUUAUCUGAAAUGGUAAUUUCCCAGCCCUGUCAUUUCCACAAAUUAUUUUAAAAUGUUGAGAAGGAAGAAAGAGUCUAUUAGUUUUGCCAAAUCAUCUUUGUCAAAAAUCAGAUUUUCCAAAGAUCUCAAGUAGGUUGUAAAGUACCAAAACUGCAGAUCUUUAUGGAGCAGGAGAACUACCACCUCUGCUCAGAAAGUAGAAUAUUUAUCAUGGCUCAAUGCAAUGGAACUUUCGGGAGCUAGAGGAUCAGAUGACCUGGAUGCUGGGCACUGCCUGCCACUCAGUGACCUUGAGUGAGCCUUUCUCUCUCCCCUUCCAGGGGAUACAGUGUUGCUUCGUGGUUAAGACAGUGGUUUGAGGGAGUCAGGAUGCUGGUGUUAAAUUUACCACCUCCUCAUAAGUGACCUCGUCAUGUCACUUGUCUCGGUCUCAGUUUCCCAGUGAUAAAAAUGAGAAUUAGAAAUAGCAGCUUACACAGGAGUUCCCGUCGUGGCUCAGUGGUUAAUGAAUCCGACUAGGAACCAUGAGGUUGUGGGUUCGGUCCCUGGCCUUGCUCAGUGGGUUAAGGAUCUAGCGUUACUGUGAGCUGUGGUGUAGGUCGCAGAUGCAGCUCGGAUCCUGCAUUGCUGUGGCUCUGGCGUAGGCUGGUGGCUACAGCUCCAAUUAGACCCCUAGCCUGGGACCCUCCACAUACUGAGGGUGCAGUCCUAGAAAAGGCAAUAAGAUGAAAAAAAAAAAAGAAAAGAAAAAAGAAAUAGCAGCUUACAUGGAAAUCCUCCAAAAAAUUAACUGCUAAAUGGGUAGAGGAAUGUACAGAAAGAAAUAUGACAGAGCAAUUGCAGAAUCUGUAGUCGUUCCCUAUACAAUUCUUUCAACUAUUCUCUUAAAUAUCUAAAAAAAUACACUAUUGGGAAAUAACCCCCCAGAAGGCAAGAGCAGCACUGCUGGAAGAGCUGGGUGAAAUAGAGAGCUCUCAGCAACGCUCAUGCUAGGGGUCUGGCAUGCUUUAGAAAUGAUUUUUACAAUACAGGUAGAAGUGGGACAAGAUGAUAGAUCCCUCGAGCUCUUAGAAUCUAGGGGUCAGAGCUGUGCUAGGUGAGACAGACACGACAUGCAUGAGCAGAAUUAGCAGCCAGGCCAUACGGCAUAGAAACCAGAUGGAUGGAGUGGAGCCAGGAUGCGGUCACAGAAGCAUCAGCAACCAGGAAGUGCGCACAGAUGACAAUGCAGCAAGACGUAGGCAAGGCAGGUCUAACACGGGGGGCUUGAAAAUCAAGGCAAGUGGCCAUUUCUACACGCCAAACGAAUGUGUUUCUCUCUCAGUGACCCCUGUGGUAGGAGAAAUGCAUUGGAUGUGCAGUUAAACAUGAGAUCAAAUCCUGUCCCUGCAACAGCAGUUACAGGACAAGAGCUGUUCAUUCAAGACCUACUAGGAAACGAUGACUUUUACUAGGAAUACCCACCACAACACAGAGGUAAGUCCACGGAAACUGUGCUUCGGCUAUGAUCCCAGCCCGUCAGAUUCUCUCUGCUAAGAAUGUGAACCAAGAGAUACAGUCAUGGGAAGGGGCCGCCUUAACUGCAGAGCAAUUCCUGCAGCCGGGGUCUCCAGAGAGGACCUGGUUCCCAUCCCUCCUGGGGUCUAGUCGCUUGAACGGAUGAGAAGCCCCAUUAUCCUUCUCAUAAAUUUCAUUUUUUUGUUUAAGCAAGCUAGUGUUGGCUUUUAUUAUGUAGAAGCAAAAAAAUAUGUACUCAUAUAAUUUGCCUUCUAAUAAUAAAAGAGUUUUCUUUAAAUUUCCAGGCCUUGGUUUCCUCAUCUCUAAAUACGAAAAACACCUCGUCUCUCAGUGGUUGAUAAAGCAACCAAAAAAGAUUAGGUGUACAAGCCCCCAGUCCAGAGCAAAUGUGAAUUGCAUCAGAAUCACUGAGUGUGUCUGAGGAGGUAGCUGCCGUCACACUGCUGAGGUGGAAGGCAUUCGGUCAUGCGAAGAGAAACAUGCUGGCAGUCAGGAAGGACGGAGCUAAAUGAGUUUGAAAUUUGGCUUUAAAAGAAACUUUUCUAACUGAAACAUGUUAAAAAUUAAUCAGCUACAUAUCAAUGUUCUGACAUGCAUUCCUGCUGGGUUUCUCCACUGGGCUAAUGCUGAUUCAAAAGGAAAGAAAAUAAAAAGCCAACGGGGAACAAAAGCUGGAUGCGCAGAUAACACACACUUGUUAAUCUCAGGACUGGCCGGAUUAUCCUAUGAAGAAAGAGGAAUAGUAUUACGCAAACAGAACGGCAGGCAGAAGGAGGGAACAAGAAAAGACCUAAGACCAUAAUUCCUAACCUAGACGUAUUAUAGCUGACCAAAAUAAAAGGUCUUCCUGAAAUUCAAAAUGAGAGUCAAAGCUUAGAUGCUCGGUGUUCUUUCAAUCUUGCUCUAUCUACUGAUUCUCCUAAAUCCAAAUAUUCAGUUAUCUUAAAAACAAGGUACCAUUUUAUUUAAAAAAAAAAAUCCCAAGUGGGUGGGUUAUGAGCUUUACUUGGUUAUUAGGCCUUAACCACGAGGUUCUCAAAUUGUGGUUCCUGGACCAACAGCAUCCGUAUCAUCUGGGAACCUUCAACCUUCUUAGAGCUUUUGCCCUGGAUCUUCAGGUUUAAUGGUCACUGGUAAAGUGGCCAUUCUUACUCUGACUCUACUGAAGAUGAGCCCUAUGGAUAAGCCUGUUUAGCGGUUAUUUAUAU
ensembl:lncRNA